CACCGAUACGGAGCAAAGAAACAAGGACAGUCCCCUCCACUGAAAACUGGGCAUCGACAGACAUCAUAGGUUGGGUGGCUGGGGCGCCAGGCGAGAAGCUUGGAAACAGUAUGGCCAAUAACUCACAAUAUGUGGAGUACCACCACACAUGGCCGUACCCGGCCAGACUGCUUAAGGCAGAACGAUCGGGGCAAACACCUACGCAAUGUGGAG